GAUAGAGGGAUGUAUCAACAAUUCUUAGUUAAGAUAAUAACAUAUUUUAAUAUUGAAAAUGAGUAGACUAUUCCUUUAAGCCUAGUAUCUUUAGAACCCCAGUCAUGUUUUUGAAUGUUCGUGCAUCAUUUCCUGAGACAGGAGAAAUACAGAUUUCAGUGUUGCACUUUCUUCUUUCAAUGAUGUAAAAAUCAUCAUUUUGCAUCAUUGAAAGAAGGAAGUCCAAUAUCUUUGUUGAGGGGGUGAGACUACAAACACCCCUUUUUCAGUCAAAUAGGCACCAAAUUCGAAAUGUAUGUUACAUUUCCACUACAAAUAUGAGACACUUUCAAUAAAGAUUAAUGUUUCUACGGGUGAAAUGGUCCAUUAAAGCAGUGGUUCUCAAUCUUGUUCCUGGGGACCCACUGCUCUGCACAUUUUGUAUGUCUCUCUAACCUGACACACUUUGCUUAGUUCAUGGAGCUCUCAUCUAAUGAGCUGAUGAUUAGAGUCAGGUGUGUUAGAUAAGGAAUACAUACAAAAUGUGCAGAGCAGGGGGUCCCCAGGAACAGGAUUGAGAACCACUGCAUUAAAGGAUAAUUCUGCCAUUUAACACUUUGAGUCUCAUUUCCAAGAGAAGUCAAUGGAACUUUACAAAAUGCCAAAUAAAACACGACAGAAACUGUAUUUUGCUACACUACUUGUUUUUAAUCAUCAACGAAAACCACAAACCACUCGGUUUUAAAAAUGAACGUUAAGUGUUGUUUUAAUGACAUGCUUGUGCAUGGCCCUUGACCUCCAUUCUGAAGCAGUCAAGAGACGCUUCUAAACAAGUCAAAAAGUCAAGACAUGACCCAUUGUCAAAAUUUCAGUGACCAACACUGUAGUUCAUCCAAAACAAACCAGAAAUGAGACUCAAAGUGUUUAAUACCGGAAUUAUUCUUUAAGAAUUUUUUCUUUAACAAAGCAUUCACAUAUUUUGACUAGUAUAUUAUACUUAUCUCGCAAAAGUUAGCUUGUACAGAACAAAGCAUUCACAUAACUUGUCUAGGUAAUUUACUAAUGCCGCAAUAGCUAGCCUGUCUGGAACCGAGCAUAUAUUAAAACACAACACUGUGUAACACUUGCAUUACAUGUGAAUGGCCCCUACACUAAUAGGAUUUUGUUUCUCUCUCCCUGUCUCGUCCUCAAACCCGAGGACAUUGAGACAAACGGACCAGUUCCGGCUGCCGUGGAGGUCAACACACCACUGAUCUACUGGCUGCCCUUCAACGUGAUGCCCAGCCGAUGCCUGACUACCGACGGAACCCGCUAAAUCUCCUUAUCCGUUUACAUCCCAUAUAUAUAUGUAUGCAGUGAGGGAGUGAUUUCCCAACAUUGAGGUGGCAGAGAUCCGGGACCUUCUACGGAGGAAGUGCAACAAUGCCAGUUACAAGGCCUCCAGUAGUUCAAAUCAGAGCUAGAUGUGCAUAUAGUACAAGUUGUUCGCAAUUGUUCUCUUCCCGGCAUUUCAAAGAAAGUCGACUGUUUAAGGUUCCCAUUUUGCCAAUAUCUGUUUUGUGUGUUACUUUUGUGUCAAUAAUAAAGAUCCUUUUUUGAAAUGCA